rnacentral:rRNA from 1 species
UAUAAUGGGUCAGCGACUUAUAUUCUGUAGCAAGGUUAACCGUAUAGGGGAGCCGAAGGGAAACCGAGUCUUAACUGGGCGUUAAGUUGCAGGGUAUAGACCCGAAACCCGGUGAUCUAGCCAUGGGCAGGUUGAAGGUUGGGUAACACUAACUGGAGGACCGAACCGACUAAUGUUGAAAAAUUAGCGGAUGACUUGUGGCUGGGGGUGAAAGGCCAAUCAAACCGGGAGAUAGCUGGUUCUCCCCGAAAGCUAUUUAGGUAGCGCCUCGUGAACUCAUCUUCGGGGGUAGAGCACUGUUUCGGCUAGGGGGCCAUCCCGGCUUACCAACCCGAUGCAAACUACGAAUACCGAAGAAUGUUAUCACGGGAGACACACGGCGGGUGCUAACGUCCGUCGUGAAGAGGGAAACAACCCAGACCGCCAGCUAAGGUCCCAAAGUCAUGGUUAAGUGGGAAACGAUGUGGGAAGGCACAGACAGCCAGGAUGUUGGCUUAGAAGCAGCCAUCAUUUAAAGAAAGCGUAAUAGCUCACUGGUCGAGUCGGCCUGCGCGGAAGAUGUAACGGGGCUAAACCAUG